rnacentral:rRNA from 1 species
GCCAGCAGCUCUGUCACCCUGCUGCUCACCGCUGGCAGCCCCACUGGAGCUCAGCAGGUGGGAGCCUGGUCAGUACCUGGAUGGGAGACCUCCUGGGAAAAACUGAGGCUGCUGCUGGAA